GCUGGGCAUGGCAGCACAUGCCUGUAAUCCUAGCACCUCAGAAGGCUGAGGCAGGAGGAUUACAAGUUCAAGACUAGCCUGGGCAACCUAGCAAGACCCUGUCUUAA
rnacentral:sRNA from 1 species